GCCCUGGUCCCCUCCCUCUCCCGGCCGAGCGCGCCUCCGGGGUCAGUCCCUCCGGGCUGCGCGUGUGUGUAUCCCAGAGCUCCGCUCCGGGGUCUGUUCUGCCGCUGGCGGCUCCGCGCCGCACAGCCCUGCACUAAAGAACUGGAGUAGAGAAGGAGAAGCCAACGGCAAAUUCCGGGCAGGAAGUCGACCUACCCUUGCCUCUGGCCAGGUCGCAGUGUAGCAAUAAAAAUCACAUGUCAGUUCAGACAGCAGCAGGAAUAGCUGACUGGGAAGGAAAUAAUUGGAGGAGUAGUCCCAGCAGUAAGAGAGAAGAAAGAAAGACAUGGGCCUUGGAAGAUAGAUAGGAUAUGAGUAAAAUGAAGCAAAGAGCAUUGCGAUUAGAGCAAGGUGUUGGAAAUGUAUGCUGCAGAAAUACUGCCUAAAACCUGGAAGUCUCAUAGCUGAAAGCACCAAACUUUGGUCCCCCUCUCGCCACCAAAAUGAAGAGAGAAUGCAGCUGGAGAUGAUGAAUUUCAGUGUGGAUGUAGAUGCAGACAUAACAGCCAUUUCAGAAGAGCAUGUUUCACCUAUAAUAUCUGCUAUAACUGAAGUCAGCUGAUCUUGCUUUUAAACCCUUUUAGGAAUUUCAAAAUCAGCUCAAUGGAUAAUGACAAAAGUGUUAACUUCUGUGACACCAUUCUCUAAAGAUGAAACCAUAAUGUCAUCAGGGGUGGUGUUAAAUGCCAGACUGAAGAGAAAGUGGAAGAGACAGAUACGGUGGAAUGCAAGGAUACUGGACCCCUGAGAGCAGCCUGUUGUCAUUGCUUGGCAUUUACAGCAUCUGUAAUUCAUUAGCUAUUCUUUUCUUUUUUAAUGAGGAAACAGAAAGGAGAUCAAGGAAUGAGCUCAAAGCAACCAAAAAAAUCUUUUCAGUAGUAAGAUAAACAAAUGUUACCAUGAGUCUGAAAGCUAGAAUUCUACAAGGGGAAGAAAUAUAUGGCCCCUGCUAAUUUUAACCAGGACCAUUGCCUGUGUAAUUGCCAUAAUAAUAAAAGCUACUGGUAUCUAUAUUUUACAAACUGCUAUUAACUAAAUUACCUCAUUCAAACCUCACACACACACACACACAUACACACACAUACACACACACAAAACAGAAGGUAGGAA
rnacentral:lncRNA from 1 species